rnacentral:rRNA from 1 species
GUCGAGCGAGAAUUUUGAAAAGAUUCUUCGGAUGAAAUUUAAAAUGGAAAGCGGCGGACGGGUGAGUAACGCGUAGGCAACCUGCCCCAUACAAAGGGAUAGCAUUUGGAAACGAAUAUUAAUACCUUAUAAAGCUUAUCUAGUGCAUGCUAGAAAGGUCAAAGAUUUAUCGGUAUGGGAUGGGCCUGCGUCUGAUUAGCUAGUUGGUGAGGUAACGGCUCACCAAGGCGACGAUCAGUAGCCGACCUGAGAGGGUGAACGGCCACAUUGGAACUGAGACACGGUCCAAACUCCUACGGGAGGCAGCAGUGGGGAAUAUUGCACAAUGGGGGAAACCCUGAUGCAGCAACGCCGCGUGAACGAUGAAGGCCUUUGGGUCGUAAAGUUCUGUUCUAGGUCAUGAAAACUGACAGUAGCCUAGGAGAAAGCCCCGGCUAACUCCGUGCCAGCAGCCGCGGUAAUACGGAGGGGGCAAGCGUUAUCCGGAAUUAUUGGGCGUAAAGGGUACGUAGGUGGCUUUUUAAGCGUAGGGUAUAAGGCAAUGGCUCAACCAUUGUUCGCCCUAUGAACUGGAAAGCUUGAGUGCAGGAGAGGAAAGCGGAAUUCCUAGUGUAGCGGUGGAAUGCAUAGAUAUUAGGAGGAACAUCAGCGGCGAAGGCGGCUUUCUGGACUGUAACUGACACUGAGGUACGAAAGCGUGGGGAGCAAACAGGAUUAGAUACCCUGGUAGUCCACGCCGUAAACGAUGAGCACUAGGUGUCGGGGUCGUAAGACUUCGGUGCCGUAGUUAACGCAUUAAGUGCUCCGCCUGGGGAGUACGCACGCAAGUGCGAAACUCAAAGGAAUUGACGGGGACCCGCACAAGCAGCGGAGCAUGUGGUUUAAUUCGAAGCAACGCGAA